AUCGUUCUCCCUUUCCCCUUUUCACCCAUCGCCGCCUCUCCGCCGGGCUCCGCCACAAUUCCUCCACCGUAGGCAACGGUUGACGUUUCCUGUCACUAUCCAAUCGAUCCAUUCACGCUCUGUACGCACACUAUCGUACAAACAUCUCCGCCACUCAGGUCGAAUGCUUCUUCACUAAGCUCAUGGAGAAAGAGGUGGAAUUUCUCUCCGAUUCGAAUUGGAUUGAUUCAAUUCGGCAAAUCAGGCUCGAGUCUCUUUCUUUCUCUGCAAUUUCUUCUUCAGUGUUUGAGGAUAUCCAUGUUUUUAGCUACUUAUACUUUCUGCACUUGCUCUUGCUCUUGCUCUGCGCUUCGGGCAUUGAUUCCAUAAGGUAUGUUACAAUAUAUUCAUGCACACAAAAUUAUAAGCUCUUGUUCUUUAGCCUCAUCUUGUUGGUGUUUCAUAAGGAUGAUUUAGUUAUUGACAUUCCUCUCUACAGCAUUAUAAGCUCUUUCUAAGAUGGAAAUUGGAGUGGCACUGGUUGAAUGGCAAAGAUUGAGAGUUUCUGAUAAGUUGAAAGAUGGAACAGUUGUAUCUGAAGCAAGCAGAUGGCAAUGAAUUCACGGUUGAGAAGGCCUUUACUGCUGUGCUCUUGCCAAGGCUGCUAAGACGAUGAAGCAAAACAAAAGAAUUCUACUUACUGCCAAGCCACAAUGUAAAGAUGACACUUUUCAAUUAAACUUGGACUUUUUUGGUAGGGGAGUUCUGCUUUCAUAAAUUUGAGGAUUGUGGCAAGCAAGUCUACUUAUUGGACUGUAGGGUUGCGUAACUCUCUGCCAGCCAUAAUAUAACAGAGCUUGAAAAGAAUUAUUGUUAGGUGGAUUAUCAACCUGAACAUUCCUGCAUGGAUAAUAGCAAUGAAUGGCAAACAAGUCCAUUUAGUUGGGACUUUUGAUAUCUCAUUGAAGAACAUUUUUGAGCAUGAUUAAAGAAAACGUGCCAGAACUUCCUUGAUGUGGAUUUGGCUUGAAAGUAAUGAAAUUCAUUGAUCAGUCGUUGAAGAGUUAGAGACUGAAUUCUCCCUGCCUCUCAAGACUUUUAAG